GACGAACGCUGGCGGCGUGCCUAAUACAUGCAGGUAGAACGCUGAAGAGAGGAGCUUGCUCUUCUUGGAUGAGUUGCGAACGGGUGAGUAACGCGUAGGUAACCUGCCUGGUAGCGGGGGAUAACUAUUGGAAACGAUAGCUAAUACCGCAUAAUAGUAGAUGUUGCAUGACAUUUGCUUAAAAGGUGCAAUUGCAUCACUACCAGAUGGACCUGCGUUGUAUUAGCUAGUUGGUGAGGUAACGGCUCACCAAGGCAACGAUACAUAGCCGACCUGAGAGGGUGAUCGGCCACACUGGGACUGAGACACGGCCCAGACUCCUACGGGAGGCAGCAGUAGGGAAUCUUCGGCAAUGGACGGAAGUCUGACCGAGCAACGCCGCGUGAGUGAAGAAGGUUUUCGGAUCGUAAAGCUCUGUUGUAAGAGAAGAACGAGUGUGAGAGUGGAAAGUUCACACUGUGACGGUAUCUUACCAGAAAGGGACGGCUAACUACGUG
rnacentral:rRNA from 1 species